rnacentral:rRNA from 1 species
CACGUAGGGGGCGAGCGUUGUCCGGAUUUAUUGGGCGUAAAGAGCUCGUAGGCGGCUCGGUAAGUCAGGUGUGAAAACUCUAGGCUCAACCUAGAGACGCCACCUGAUACUGCCGUGGCUAGAGUCCGGUAGGGGAGCAUGGAAUUCCUGGUGUAGCGGUGAAAUGCGCAGAUAUCAGGAGGAACACCAGUGGCGAAGGCGGUGCUCUGGGCCGGAACUAACGCUGAGGAGCGGAAGCGUGGGGAGCAAACAGG